rnacentral:rRNA from 1 species
UACAGAGGUCUCGAGCGUUAGGCGGAAUCACUGGGCUUAAAGCGUGUGUAGGCGGAUCGUUAAGUGCCUUGUGAAAUCCCACGGCUUAACCGUGGAACUGCUUGGCAUACUGGCGGUCUUGAGCAACCUAGGGGCGAGCGGAACAAAUGGUGGAGCGGUGAAAUGCGUAGAUAUCAUUUGGAACGCCAAUGGUGAAAACAGCUCGCUGGGGGUUUGCUGACGCUGAGACACGAAAGUGUGGGGAUCAAACAGG